CAACUCUCAUCUUACACCGUUGGAUCGAGAAAUGGACGUCCGAGAGUUAAAAUUUAACUCGCAGAUUCACUCAUGAGUUAAAAUUUACUAGGAGUUAAAUUUUACUAUGAGUUAAAUUUUACUAUGAGUUAAAUUUUAACUCAUGGUGACGUGAAUGAAUCUCGGACGUCCAUUUCUCGAUCUAACGGUGUAGGAUGAGAGUUA
rnacentral:pre_miRNA from 1 species